CCUACGGGAGGCAGCAGUGGGGAAUAUUGGGCAAUGGGCGCAAGCCUGACGCAGCAACGCCGCGUGAAGGAAGAAGGCUUUCGGGUUGUAAACUUCUUUUGUCAGGGAAGAGUAGAAGACGGUACCUGCCGAAUAAGCCACGGCUAACUACGUGCCAGCAGCCGCGGUAAUACGUAGGUGGCAAGCGUUGUCCGGAUUUACUGGGUGUAAAGGGCGUGUAGCCGGGUUGACAAGUCAGAUGUGAAAUCCUGGGGCUUAACCGCAGAACUGCAUUUGAAACUGUUGAUCUUGAGUACUGGAGAGGCAGACGGAAUUCCUAGUGUAGCGGUGAAAUGCGUAGAUAUUAGGAGGAACACCAGUGGCGAAGGCGGGCUGCUGGACAGCAACUGACGGUGAGGCGCGAAAGCGUGGGGAGCAAACAGGAUUAGAUACCCCGGUAGUC
rnacentral:rRNA from 1 species